rnacentral:rRNA from 1 species
GACGAACGCUGGCGGCGUGCUUAACACAUGCAAGUCGAACGGAGAGGCCCUGCUUUUGUGGGGGGCUCGGGUGGCGAACGGGUGAGUAACACGUGAGUAACCUGCCCUUGACUUUGGGAUAGCUUCAGGAAACUGGGGCUAAUACCGGAUAGGAGCUCCUGCUGCAUGGUGGGGGUUGGAAAGGUUCGGCGGUUGGGGAUGGACUCGCGGCUUAUCAGCUUGUUGGUGGGGUAGUGGCUUACCAAGGCUUUGACGGGUAGCCGGCCUGAGAGGGUGACCGGCCACAGUGGGACUGAGAUACGGCCGAGACUCCUAGGGGAGGCAGCAGUGGGGAAUAUUGCACAAUGGGCGGAAGCCUGAUGCAGCAAGGCCGCGUGCGGGAUGACGGCCUUCGGGUUGGAAACCGCUUCCGCCUGUGACGAAGCGUGAGUGACGGUAAUGGGUAAAGAAGCACCGGCUAACUACGGG